GACGAACGCUAGCGGGAUGCCUUACACAUGCAAGUCGAACGGAGUGGCGAACGGGUGAGUAAUGUAUCGGAACGUGCCCAGUAGCGGGGGAUAACUACGCGAAAGCGUAGCUAAUACCGCAUACUAUUGGAGCGGCCGAUAGAGGAUUAGCUCGGUGGUGGGGUAACGGCUCACCAAGGCGACGAUCCGUAGCUGGUUUGAGAGGACGACCAGCCAUACUGGGACUGAGACACGGCCCAGACUCCUACGUGGGGCAGCAGUGGGGGAUUUUGGACGAUGGGUGGAACCCUGAUCCAGCCAUCCCGCGUGUGCGAUGAAGGCCUUCGGGUUGUAAAGCACUUUUGGCAGGAAAGCGGUACCUGCAGAAUAAGCACCGGCUAACUUCGUGCCAGCAGCCGCGGUAAUUC
rnacentral:rRNA from 1 species